rnacentral:rRNA from 1 species
AAUAUUAGUCGCAUCCAGCAUGAAAAAUUCCAUGAGUGGUUUAAAUUACAUGUGGCAGAGCUAGUAGAGAGUGGUGAAGAAGUGUUCGAAGAGAUCCAAACUUUAUCGUCUGGACCCUUCAUUGCUCCAAAAACAUAUAGCAUCUAUACUAUAAAUGGGGUAAAUUUCCACACAAGGUCCUACGAUGAUGGUAGGCGCAGCCAAAGUAGUGGAGUUGCUCUAGUUGCACAAACAUCUACAAAUGCUGAAAAUCAUAUAGUGGGAAGUAAGAUAUAUUAUGGUGUGAUAACAGAAAUUCUGGAAUUAAACUAUCAAAACAAAGGAAAUAUCGUGCUAUUUAAAUGUGAUUGGUUUGACAACCGUGUACCAGACAAGUGGGUAAAAGUUGAUAAAUUUGGCAUCACGAAUGUGCAGGCUAAGCAUUUAUUUAACUCUGAUGAGCCAUUCAUUUUGGCUUCGCAAGCAACUCAGGUGUAUUAUGUUGAACAUACCACUGACAAAGAUUGGUAUAGCGUUGUUCAGUCCAAACCGGGAAUCCUUUAUGAUAUUUUUGGAAAAGGAAAUGAGAACUUUGAGAAAGUUGAUGAACAUGUGGUUUUGUUCCCUGAUUUAGAUGCUAAUGUAGAUCUCCGGGUUGAUCUUAGAAGUGCACCUCGUAUCAUAGAAGAUAUAGAUGGAACAAUUGUUCGACAGGUCAAGAAGGAUAAGUAUGUAGUUUUUAGUUUUAAUAUUUCUGCAAAAUACCUCUUCUAA